rnacentral:lncRNA from 1 species
GGCAUGGAGAGGGUAGGUUUGGGAGAUGGGUUACAUAUCACAAUUUUUUUAGACAGAUUCCUGGAUGUGUGCUUAUAGAGUUAAAUGGGUGAUCCAAAGUAGGAAAGAUAGACAAAAUGAAGGCAAAUAUAUCAAGCUUUUAUCCUGCUUUCGUUAUCAUAUAAAUUCAAGUGAGAAAUCACUGCAAAAAAAAAAAAAAUCACAGCAAAGGCGAGUGCUUAUAAAUACCUACUAUAGUAAUGCUUCUUAAGACUUUCCUAAGGUGAAACAUAAUUGUGACUUAUAAUUAUUCUCCUUCUUUUAGCAUUAUCUGCAUACCAGAGGUACUACAGUUUACAGUCUGAUUACUGGAAGGUUGGUACACAUUUUCAUGCUUAUUUCUUAUUUGUUUUUGUUGGCACAUUUAUUGUUGGUUAUAAAAAAUAAAGAUUAGAGCUCACUUUUUUUUAAUGUUACUUCUACAAGAAAGAGAUUUGAAGACGGAAAUCAAUAUCAUUUUGUUAUUUUCUAUUUAACUACUUUGUAUUUUAUUAAAAAGAAUUAGAUUGUUGACAUUUUAUUGACCAGAGAUGAUCUGAUCGCAUGUGAAAUAAUUGAAAAAUCAAACACAGCCAAACAGCUUUCAGCUAGCAAGGGCUUGGGUUAAUGGUUUGUGUGGUGCUGGGGAUUGAACCCAGGGACUUAUACUUGGUAGACAAGCACCUCACAACUGGGUUACAUUUCACCCCUUUGUUUAUGUAUUUGUUUCCCGGCUAAGAAUUUUGAAGUCACUAUAUAUUCUUGAUAUUUAUCAUUAGUGUAGCUCUGGCUGUCAUGGAACUUAUUCUGUAGACCAGGCUGGCCUUGAAUUCAGAGGUCUUUGCUGCUCUUGCUUCCCCAGUGCUAAGUGAGAUUAAAGAUGUACACCACCGCCACCUGGCUUGUAUUGUCACUUUUACUGAUUGAUUCCGUUCCUUUGAAAAAGCUUUUUAGUUUUAUGAAAACCUAUUUGCCUUUUCUGGACUUUAUUUUCCUGUGCAUUAUUUCUGAAGUCAUUGCCUAUACUAAUGACAUUGUUUCUCCUGACUUUUAUUUUUCCUAGUAGCUUCAUAGUUUCAGGUCUCAAAUUUAUUUCUGUUUAAUUUUGAGUUAAGUUUUUUUACAAGGUUGGAGAUAAUAGUCCAAUUUUAAUCCCUUGCAUAGUUUACCAGAAUCAAUGUGUUAAUGAGGUUGCCCUUUCUUCGUUAAUACUCUUGGUUCUUCGUAAGUAGUCAGUUGCUUCUCAAUUGCAUGGAUUUAUUCUUAGGAUCUCUUACUUUUUUCUGUGUACAUUGCUAAUCCUUAUCUUCUGAGCAUAAUUUGAAGUCAGCUAGACCUCACCUUUGUUAUUAACUUUCCAUAUUAUUUGGAAGGGGUGGUCUUUUAUACUUCCAUGAGUUUACAUUUUCUGUUUCUAUCUCAUUGUUAUUUUGAAGACAUGUCACCUUGGGUAAUUUGGACAUUUGACAUUAUUAUUGCAGUCCACAAAGAUGAAACAUCUUUCCAUCUUCUGGUGUCAUCAGAUUCUUUCAUCAAUGUUUUGUAAUUUUCAUUGGGAAUGUCUUUUAUUUGUAUAGUUAAAUUUCUUCCCAGAUAUAUUUUUUGUAGCUUAUCAUGAAUAUAAGAUUCUUUUCAUUAUAUCCCCCAUACCCCUAGUCAGUCGGUGUGUACCGGUGUGGUGUGGUGUGUGGCAUGUAUCAUGUAGCUUACAAAUGUCUGUGCACAUCCAUGCAGGGGCCAGAGUAAGAUGUCAGAUGCCUUCCUUAUUGCUCCCCAACACUCUUGUAAUGGAAUGUCUCAUUGAACCCGGAGCUUACCAUUUCAGCUAGCCUAGCUAGUAAAUAAGCUCCUAGGAGCUGCUUGUUUCUGCACACUAGUGCUGCAGUUACAAGCAUUUUUGGAUAUAACUAGCUUUUUACAGGGAUACUGGGAAUUUGAACUCAGGUCUUCAUAAUUGUACAGCAAAUACACUUACCCACUGAGCCAUCUCCCUGGUCCCUCACUCUUUCUUAACAGUUUUUGUCAUCACUGUUUUAAAAUAGCCCUGCUUUUUAUAUGUUGGUAUUUUUGCAUUACACUGUGUUGUUUUGAACAUGUUAGUAAUAGCCUUAGAGUACUAAAAUGCAUUAGUGUUUCAUUAAAGCAAAGAUAUUAAAGCACUUCCCCUUGAAGUAAUUUUAUUAAAAGCUAGCCCAGAUACAAAUUCUCUACUUCUUUCUCCCUCUGUCUUCCAGUGUCUCUUUUUAUCUGUUAUAUGAGUCUGAAUCUGUUUGCCUUAACAUACUCUCUUGUAUGAGAUGGGGAGGGAGAGAGAUACUGAGAUCCGAACAAGGGGGUUUUGCUCUGUAUUAAGUGAACAGCAUAGAAAGCAUCACAUGGAGAAGAAGACAUGACGGAUACUUUACAGAACUAACAGGGAAUGAAAUAUUACUAAUUACAAUGGUCCCAGAUAACAAACAAUAUUCCUAUGCUGCUUCUAACAUUUUUGGUGGAUAUUUGUUUUAUAAGGUUGCAUAUUAACCUAUUUGCUGCUUUUUAACAAAUGACUACCACAGCACACAUACCUACACAUGUCUCUUUGGGUCAGGAGCAUGAAACAAUAUAAAGUUUAAAAUUGCAGCUAUUUGUAUUAGCUCAUGUUGUUCAAAGGGAAAUCCAUGGCAAGUAAGGUUGGUUGUUUACUAGUUCUCUUAUAGUUUAAACAGGUGGAAUAUAGAGUAAGAUAGCUGUCUUAAGUUACUUCAAGGUAUGUUAUUAACUGGAGACAAAGUUCCAGUGUCUUAGAAUAUAGGAUUUAUUUUCAUAAUAACAAGUUGCCAUAUUCUUUUUUUUUUAAACAAACCAGCCUGUCAGUACUGCAUCUCACUUGUGUGUGUUCUUUCUUUCUUUCUUUUUUUCUUAAACAUUUUAUUUAUUUUAUGUACAUGAAUACAUUGUUGCUGUCUUCAGACACACCAGAAGAGGGCAUCUGUUUCCAUUACAGGUGGUUGUGUGCCACCAUGUGGUUGCUGGGAAUUGAACUCAGGACCUCUGGAAGAGCAGUCAGUGCUUUAAAUCGUUGAGCCACCUCCCCAGCCCAAGUUGCCAUGUUCUACAAUCUCACUGAAUUCAUUUACCAGUUCUAAUAUUCUUAAAAAGUCUUUAGGUUAUUCUGAACUUAGAACCACAUCAUUUAUAAACAAGUGCAGUUUAACUUCUUCUCCUGCAAAUCUUGUUUUGCUUCUUCACUUUAGGAAGCAAUUCCUAAGGAGUCAGUGCUUUUUAGUAUAAGCAGCUUUUAGUGCCAGUUUCAUAGUUUGACAUGAAUUUAUUUUUCAGUUGCUUCUCAGCAUAAAAUGCAAUUGUUUUCAAAGAUGAUUACUGGCAUAUAAAAUGCUUGGUUUUGACUGACAGUCAGACUCAUUUGACCCUAAAAUUGUCUGGGGUUGGUGUGGCAGCUCAGUGGUAUAGUGCUUAGCUGGUAUUUAUGAAGCCCCAAGUUCAAUCCCCAGUACUGCC